rnacentral:tRNA from 1 species
GCCUCGGUAGCUCAAGUGGAUAGAGCACUCGUUUCGCCAACAGAAGGUUGUGGGUUCGAGUCCCACCCGAGGCG